UCAAAGUUCAGUAGAGGGUUUGCAAUCACUAAAGUUUUAUGCCUUUUCUUUAGUAUUAUUCUACAGUAAAUGAAUUAAGAUUCUAGGUUUAUCCACACCUCAUUCCUGUCUGUAAAUAUCUAUCCACUCAUCUUUUGAAGAACAGUUAACACUAAACCAUUCUUUUGCUCUCCAUAUUUGAAAUAUGAACAGAAACAUAAUCCGUAGUAAACCAGGGAAAUCAAAUAUAGAAGUCUCUCUCUCUCUCUCUCUCUCUCUCUCUCUCUAACUAGAUAAUGUUAGUUCUCAUACUCAAAAAAUCAUAAUCAUUGACAUUCAAGCAGCAAUGGCUGAGUUCAUCUCACUAAGAAUGCGGUGGUACGUAUGGUGAUCCGAUGUGUUUCUAAAUCCAGGAAUAAAGUCUGAAAAGAAUCUUAGCACUGCAGCAAGAAGCUGUGAAUCAUUGGAAGCUAAAGCUGCUUCAAGAAACAAUGAAGGCCGGACAGUAGUGACCU
rnacentral:misc_RNA from 1 species